rnacentral:rRNA from 1 species
AACCUCCGCAAUGUGAGAAAUCGCGACGGGGGGAUCCCAAGUGCCAUUCUUAACGGGAUGGCUCUUCAUUAGUGUAAAGAGCUUUUGGAAUAAGGGCUGGGCAAGACCGGUGCCAGCCGCCGCGGUAACACCGGCAGCUCUAGUGGUAGCAGUUUUUAUUGGGCCUAAAGCGUCCGUAGCCGGUUUAAUAAGUCUCUGGUGAAAUCCUGUAGCUUAACUGUGGGAAUUGCUGGAGAUACUAUUAGACUUGAGACCGGGAGAGGUUAGAGGUACUCCCAGGGUAGAGGUGAAAUUCUGUAAUCCUGGGAGGACCGCCUGUUGCGAAGGCGUCUAACUGGAACGGUUCUGACGGUGAGGGACGAAAGUUAGGGGCGCGAACCGGAUUAGAUACCCGGGUAGUCCUAACUGUAAACGAUGCGGACUUGGUGUUGGGGUGGCUUUGAGCUGCUCCAGUGCCGAAGGGAAGCUGUUAAGUCCGCCGCCUGGGAAGUACGGUCGCAAGACUGAAACUUAAAGGAAUU